UUCCGGGGCCAGAUCGUCGCUCCGGGGUUCUUUGUAUCCCAAGGCGCGGGUAAUGCCGCGUCCGAUAAGAGUCAUUCCCCGGAGAGGAAAGUCCGGACACCACAGGGCAGGAUGCCGUGCGAGCUUCACCGCAAGCAUGGGAGGCGUGCGUCAAGGCACGUCGACGGCCAGUGUCACAGAGAAUAUACCGCCCGGCGGCUUGCCGUCGGGUAAGGGUGAAAAGGUGGGGUAAGAGCCCACCGCGUCGCGCAGCAAUGCCGGCGGCAUGAUAAACCCCUUCCGGUGCAAGGCAAAAUAGGCGGCUGACCGGCCCGGUUGUAAGCCGCGGGUAUGUCGCACCCACCUACGCCUCGGCGCUUUGGCGCCGGAGCUGCGGCGGGCGGGUUCCUCUGGCAACGGAGGGGCUCGAGAUAAAUGACGAUCACGGGAUCGCUUCGGCGGUGCCGCACAGAAUCCGGCUUAUCGGCCCCGGAACCAA
rnacentral:RNase_P_RNA from 1 species